rnacentral:rRNA from 1 species
ACAACUUUCAACAACGGAUCUCUUGGCUCUCGCAUCGAUGAAGAACGCAGCGAAAUGCGAUAACUAAUGUGAAUUGCAGAAUUCAGUGAAUCAUCGAGUCUUUGAACGCACCUUGCGCCCUUCGGCACUCCGAAGGGCAUGCCUGUUUGAGUGUCA